rnacentral:lncRNA from 1 species
CGGAAAGCAAGGUCCAUGCAAUACCAUGGAGCCCUGAACCUAAUGCCUGACCUUUCAUCUCUGACCUCCUGCUGAGCCAGGUGUACUACCUGCCACCUAGUAAGUUUCCACUGGUAUCAAAACUGACCGCAAAGCCCAGCUCCUUCACUGUUACAUGGACAUUUCAUGAGGUUGGUACCUGGACACAUUCUGAGGACCAUGGAGAACUGUCACUUACAUACCUUCCAGGAAUGCCUGCAGUCCCUAUCCCCCUUGAAUCUGCAGAGCAACAUUGCUCCAUCUCUACACAAGCAUUAUCCGAUGACUUCAUCCCUUCCAGAGCUUCCUGGGCAGGAGCUGCUGCUGGACACUUCCCAGGAUGAGGAUCUCACCGUCUCUCAGGACAAGGCUUUUGCUUGCUUUUGGCCUGUUCUCACCAUUAAAAAGGAAUAAGAUGAGGCCAGAUGUGUGGCUCCUGCCUGUAAUCUCAGCACCUUGGAAGGCCAAGGUGGGAGGGUUGCUCCAGCUCAGCAGUUUGAGACCAGCCUGGGCAACACAGGGAGACCCCAUCUUUACAAAUACUACUACUACCAGCACUACUACUAUUACUACUACUACUUGUAAAAUUAGUUGGGCGUAGUGGUGCAUACUUGUAGUCCCAGCUACUCAGCCAUCUGGAUCGCUUGAGCCUGGGAGACUUGAGGCUGCAGUGAGCCAUGACUGUGCCACUGCACUGCGGCCUGGGCAAUAGAGAGAUACCUUGUCUCAAAAAAAAAAAAAAAAAAAGAAGUAAUAAGAUGAAUGUGAAUUCUGGCUUUAUUUCAGCUGCUCCUGAUCCUGCCUCUGGGCUCCUUUGACCUUCAGCCUUCCCCCUGAGAGACAGAGCUGUGUCUCCAUGGGACAACUGAGGAGCCCUGUAGUAAAGCCCCAGCUGAGAUCCAGCCUCUUGACUUGCAGUCCUGGGCUUUCUCAAGGUCCUAUUUUCUCCCUGACUGCCUUUUAUUAUUCGGCUUUCUUCAGGGAAGAAAUGC